CUCGGGCCGAGUCGGCUCCGCCCUUCGCUUGACCCGCCGGAGGCGCAGAGGUCCCGGGGCGCCCAGGUGUGCGUCCCUUCCGGCGCGCCCAAAGGCUGGGGGUCGGAAACUACGGGUAGGGGCCUGAUCCAGGGUCUCGGCAGCCUGUCGCCACGGGAGCGGCCGGGCGUGCUCCACUAGGCGAAGCGAGAUUACUUGAGCCGAAAAGCGGUUGUUAGACUUCGGGAGAGCAGGUACGGCCGUCUCGUCCUCCUCCCCCUGGCCAGCCUGGCCUCGCCCGAGGCGACACCGCAGCCUCCAGGCAGCUCGCUGAUGGGGUAAGGAGAGAAAGGGAGGCACUGAUAAAGCACGCUUUUCACUUUUUUUGCCUUUUUGUCCCUUUGGAGAACUCGAGUCCGGCCCAUAUGCCGCUAGUUUUAGUUUCCCUUACCAAUACACUGAUGGCUUGGGUGAGCAAACUGAUAAACUCAAAAGCAGAUGUCUUACCAUUUACCUCUGAGCUGGAUCUGAAAUUGCAGCCUCCUCCUGUCACACCUGGUGCUUCCCCCAGCUCUCAGCCUGCCCAGACCUGCGUACAACUCUGAGCCUCAGCGAUCCAGGCUCCAUUAUCUUAAAACUGACUUGAAGAUGCCAGUGGUAAUUCUGAGUCUUUGCUUUCUGGUUUGUGCGGUUUUUUCCUCCCCAAGAACCUUUUGCUCUUUUCAUUAAGUCAGAGCAGGGGGGUGACCUUCAAUAAUACCUGACUUCCUCCUACUCAGUAAAUUGAGCAUACACUGAUGUUCCCUUCAGGCAGGGGACACAGCAGUACUUCUCCAGCCACUACCACAGUUUCCUUUGUGGUGACCUCAGGGACACUGCACAUCUAAUCACUGCUGAGCCUCAGCUGGAAGGGGCUGUGGUUGUAUCCAUCGGAGUCUCCCAAGUUUGAACAUGGACAACUCACAGAAAACGUAUGUUUCUUGUUUUCCAUUUUCAAAUAUGAUUAGUUCCUUAAGUGUUAAAUAUGGAAGUAGCAUAUGAUCCAAUUAUCCCACUUCUGAGUAUAUACCCCCCAGAAAAUGAAUGCAGGAACUCAAGCAGAUACUUGUACACCCAUUUUCAUAACAUUAUUCAUAGCAGAAGUUAGGGACCGUCCAGGGCCCAUCAACAGGUAGAUAAACACAACAUCCUAUGUCCAUACAAUAGGCUAUUAUUAAAAGAAAUGAAAUUCUGGCACGUGUUGCAGCAUGAAUGAACCUUGAAAACAUACUAAGUGAAAUAAGCCUGAGCCAAAGGUAGUAUUCUAGUAUGACUCUACCUUUAUGAAACAUCUAGAAUAAGCAAACUGAUAGAAAGUAGAACAGAGGUUACCAGAGGCUGGGGGAGAAAAAUAUGGGGAAUUAGUAAUUAAUGUGAAUAGAGUUUGAAUGAAAAUGAAUGAUGGUAAUGGUUGCAUAAUAUGAUGAAUAUACUUAGUGACAUCAAAUGGUGUACUUGAGAUGGUUAAAAAGGUAAAUUUUAUAUUAUAUUUUUUUUACCAUUGGAAAACACACUUAGGGCUGGUGAUAUAGCUCAGUGGUAGAGCACUUGCCUACCAAGUUAGGCAAGUGCCUAACUGCCUUGGGAGAGCUCAGUUCCCAGUACUGAAAAAAAAGGAGGGGGGGGUAUAAUCUGUUACUUUCCAAAUAAAAAGGUAAUCUCAACUUUAAAAGAAAUGUACCCAUUUUUCAAAAAAAGAAUAUAUAAGCACAUGGCAGAGAGAAUAUGAGGCCUAUGAAAUGGUACAAUUUUGGCCAGACUUUUUAAAAAAUUCAUUUUGUGACAGGAACUUGAUAAAUUGCCUAGGCUGGCUUAAAAACCUGCAGUCCUCCUGCCUCAGACUCCCAAGUAGCUGGGGUCAUAUGUGUGCCUGUAUUCCUCUUUAUAGGAAAACGUUCUGCCAUAGGCUUUUCUCUCUGUGCACCAUGGCCCUUAUUAGAAAAAAAAAUAAUAAUCCCAUGCCAGCUGUCAGAGUUAUAGCUACUACCAGACUGCUGAGGACAGGCCUAAAAGUACAUCUGCGUGGAUCAUAGAUGCACCCAGGGGACGGCAGGUGACCGCCCUGUGAGCAUCCUGGGUUCAUGCUAGUGAAACAGCUGGUUACAUGAAUGUAAGAGAUCCACACUAAUCUUUUUUGCUUUGGGUUAAGUGUGCACACUAUGGCUGUGCCAAGUGUGAGGUUGGUGGAACUUCACAUUGAGAGGCAGAACACCAACCGGUUCUUGACAGAAAGUUGCUAUAGUAGGGAAAGAUGUUUCUGUUUGUUGUUGUUUUCAAUGUACAAAUAUAGCUGAAAGUCAUUAAAAUGUCAAGUUUCUCUGACUUUGCGAAGAAGCACACAUGAGCAUCUUAAUCUUAUUUAGCUGGCAUGUCCUGGGUAAAGAAGGCAUGUGUUUUGAAACUCUUUGUUCAUAUAAUUAUCAGUUCUGAAAAUACUCAUUACUGAUUAUGUCUUUUUGAGAGCAAUUUUUAAAAGUUUAGUUUUGAAAGUAUUUUUAAGAUUAAACAUUCUGAAAUAAAUGUAUGUUUUCCAGCUCUGAAGUGUGUAAAAAAAAAAACAAACAAAACAGCAUCCAUUAAUAAAUUACAGUAAGAGUUGUGGUAUUUUUCAUGCUUGUUUUCUUUUUAGAAAAAAAAUUACUUAAAAUUAUCAGCAGGGCUUAGACCCAGACACGCCUCUGCUGGAGUCUUUCUCUAAAUGCCCCCUUUCGGCUCCAAUGAAGCAAUUUCAGUUUGUUGCUCUUUUCCUAGAAGUUACUCCCCAGUACCUAGAGGGUAGAAGUUCUUUUCCAAUUAUUUCAGUAAAAAUUACUAUGAAUAAAAACAAACACACACACGAGUUUAAAUUGAUCAUGGUUAGAAAUUUUUGAGUAAAUGCCAGAAAUAAAGGAGUGAGCAGGAGAUGGGGAAGGGGUACAGACAGCGAUGGGCCAGGCAGGUGUGGCCUGGGGAGAAACACGGCCGAGUGGUGGGGCAGAGGCCCUGAACUGUGCAGCCCUGGCAGACAGAGACACUUGAAGACAGGAAGAAAGACGCCCCUUUGCAGGAAUGCUUCUGGAAACUGAGCUAGCAUUCUCCCUUGGGUACCUCAACCCACUUUCUUUUUCAUUCUCCUUUCUACCUUCACUCCAUGUUUCCUUCCUUGCCUCAAACUCCUGCCUCCCUCCCUUCCUUAGGUAGGCUUUCACCAGCCUUUCAAAAGUCAGGACAAGCUUCUGGUCUCUCUUUUUUUUGGAGCGCCCUGUUUAGGGCUGGCGGGGAGGAAGGAUUCAGCUGCUUGAGUACCAGGUCCAAAGAAGCCAAGGGUCAGCCACCGGCCACCAGCCUGGACUCAACUUUGUCCUAUGUGCAUUUCCAGCCCUUUUGUAGAACAUGGCCUGUCAUAUUCAGUUGCUACUGGAGCAGAAUUAGAAAUCUUCACCCAGAAUCAGAAGAAUUGUGUUCUAGGCCUCAGUGCCAUCAACUAGCUGAGCAAUGGGCAUCUGCCUGCUGCCACUAUCUGGAGCUGUUUGCUCACUUGGAAAGUGAAGGGUCUCAUUCCUGCCAGAGCUGGGGCUCUGAUUGCUACUUGUGAGGUCAGGUGUGUUCGGCACUUCCCAGUAGCUCCCGGGCACAUAGCCUGAUCUACCAACUGAAAACUACUCUUCAAGAAAUCAGUGCCCUCAUGUAGAGCAUGGGAGGCCUGUUUGGACAUGCUCUCUGUGUGGGGAAGCUGAGGGCCUGUCUCACUGGUGCACUCUGGAAAUGCCCACUCCUCCUCCUUAAAGGAUGGCCCAAAGGGCUUCCAUCAGCUGCCUGGCUGAUGCACUCAGAUUAGCUAAUCCUCAAUCACAGGGAGUUCUUCAUUCCACCAAACCCAAGAGCCUUUGGUAGUUUCUCUUAUCCCAGCUUUGGGGAGCUUAGUCACAUAUCAGAGACUGUGAUUAAAACACGAUGCCCGCAGUGCCCACCAGGUUCUUCUUAGGUUCAGUGACAUAUUCAGACUCACAAGCCUCCCAGACACCUCAUUGGGCUUUCAGUGACUCAGAAUAGUGAAGGGAAGAAUCACUGCCGGCCAUAGUGGAGCAUCAAGAGUUCAUCCCCACCCAUGCCCUACAAGUGUCAACACAGGACUCGGGGGUCCAUUGAUGUGUACCAUUUUAUGCAUCAAUUAAAAAUAAGUAAAUAAAUUAAAAGUUCACAUCAUGGGUGCUCUGGUAGCAGUCAGCUUAGGUAUAAGGAGUUGAUAUCCACAUCGGACGGGUGUAGUCCCUGCCUGUUGUAGAAGUCAGUGUCUUUUGUGGUAACUCCACAGGUGUAACAUUCCAGGUUCAUCACAAAAGGCAAGCCCAGCUCAAAAAGUCACCACACUCAGGCCUUAAAAAUGGUUUCCUGCCAUGUAUUUAUAGUUUAUACAUUCAACACUGUAAAACAUGCCUUAUUCCCCUGAUUUGGACAACAAAUGAUAGCACCAAAACUUCCUGAAUCCGAGGUCCACUGUUCCUUCAGUAUUUCACGGCUGCCUCCUCUUGAAUGGAAUUCCUAAUGUGCAUGUGACUAUGGCAGACUCUUCACAUGGUUUAGGUGUAUUGAAAAGAUAUAAUAUCCUAAUGUUUUCUAAAGCACAAUAGCAUUUCUCAUCAAAUCAUUGGUUUUACUUGUGAUUGUUUCAGAAAAUACGUGCAGGUUAGCUCAACAGAUGCAUCUGAGAAUACCUGGCACCUAGU
rnacentral:lncRNA from 1 species